GCGGCGACAGCGGCGACAUGAGCCAGCGCGGUCCCCGUGUCACCUCCUCGGCGGCGGAGACCCCCGGGGGGCAGCGGCAAGGCUGUCCCCAAGGCUGUCCCUGUCGCUGUCCCCCCCAGCCAGGGCCGGUGUCCCCAAGAAGGAGGAGUCGGAGUCGGAGG